rnacentral:miRNA from 1 species
GUUAUAACACUGCCACGACUCCAAGUGAAAUUAUUUAAUAAAUAUAUAUAUAUAUAGCUUUAAAGCUAUAUAUAUUUUUUUAUUAAAUAAUUUCACUUGGAGUCGUGGCAGUACGUGUUAUAAC